UUAUUAGUACUUAGCCGACAGAUAGCUCUCUCGCCCACUAUAGCUAAGCAGGGCUGCGCCCGGUCAGUACCUGGAUGGGAGACCACAUGGGAAAGCUAGGUUGCUGCUGGA
rnacentral:rRNA from 1 species